UACGUAGGGGCCUAGCGUUGUCCGGAUUUAUUGGGCGUAAAGAGCUCGUAGGCGGUUCGGUAAGUCAGGUGUGAAAUCUCCACGCUCAACGUGGAGGGGCCACCUGAUACUGCCGUGACUCGAGUCCGGUAGGGGAGUGUGGAAUUCCCGGUGUAGCGGUGAAAUGCGUAGAUAUCGUAAGGAAGACCAGUGGCGAAGGCGGGUCUCUGGACAGUUCCUGACGCUGAGGCACGAAGGCCAGGGGAGCAACGGGAUAGA
rnacentral:rRNA from 1 species